UAGAUCUCUUUAAAAAGGUAAUAUGUUUAAUUCAGGAAUUGCGGAAAGCCUUGCAGCAGCUGCAAGAAGAAUUGUAGAACAAGAGCCAACAGCUUCGUGCCCGGGAGGCUGAAAAAUACAAUGAGAUUCGAACCCAGGAACAAAACAUCCAGCACCUAAACCAUAGUCUGAGUCACAAGGAGCAAUUGCUUCAGGAAUUUCGGGAGUUCCUAUAGUAUCGAGAUAACUCAGACAAAACCCUUGAAGCAAAUGAAAUGUUUUUUGAGAAACUUCGCCAGCGCAUACAUGAUAAAGCUGUUGCUCUGGAGAGCACUCCCAGGAAACGGAAAGCCUGAGGGAGGCUCUGCUGUCCUCUCAAUCCCACCUUCAAGAGCUCGAAAAGGAGCUGGAGCAUGAGAAGAUGGAAAGCAGCAGCUUUUGGAAGACUUAAGGGAGAAGCAGCAAGAGGUCUUGCAUUUCAGGGAGGAACGUCUUUCCCUCCAGGAAAACGACUCCAGACUGCAGCACAAGCUGGUCCUCCUGCAGCAACAGUGUGAAGAGAAACAGCAGCUCUUUGAGUCCCUCCAGUCAGAGCUACAAAUCUACGAAGCACUUUAUGGCAAUUCCAAGAAGGGGCUGAAAGCUUACAGCCUGGAUGCCUGUCACCAAAUCCUUUUGAGCAGUGACCUGAGCCACCUGGUGGCAGAGGU